rnacentral:rRNA from 1 species
CCUACGGGAGGCAGCAGUGGGGAAUAUUGGGCAAUGGGCGCAAGCCUGACCCAGCAACGCCGCGUGAGUGAAGAAGUAUUUCGGUAUGUAAAGCUCUAUCAGCAGGGAAGAAAAUGACGGUACCUGACUAAGAAGCCCCGGCUAACUACGUGCCAGCAGCCGCGGUAAUACGUAGGGGGCAAGCGUUAUCCGGAUUUACUGGGUGUAAAGGGAGCGCAGACGGCUGUGCAAGUCUGGAGUGAAAGGCGGGGGCCCAACCCCAGGACUGCUCUGGAAACGGGAAAGCUGGAGUGCAGGAGAGGUAAGCGGAAUUCGUGGUGUAGCGGUGAAAUGCGUAGAUAUUAGGAGGAACGCCAGUGGCGAAGGCGGCUUACUGGACUGCAACUGACGUGGAGGCUCGAAAGCGUGGGGAGCAAACAGGAUUAGAUACCCUUGUAGUG